rnacentral:rRNA from 1 species
ACAUGCAAGUCGAACGGUAACGACACUAGCUUGCUAGUGGGCGACGAGUGGCGGACGGGUGAGUAACGCGUAGGAAUCUACCUAGUAGUGGGGGAUAGCCAAGGGAAACUUUGGGUAAUACCGCAUACGAUCUACGGAUGAAAGGGGGCCUCUCUUUGAAGCUCUCGCUAUUAGAUGAGCCUGCGUAAGAUUAGCUUGUUGGUGGGGUAAUGGCCUACCAAGGCGACGAUCUUUAGCUGGUCUGAGAGGAUGAUCAGUCACACUGGAACUGAGACACGGUCCAGACUCCUACGGGAGGCAGCAGUCGGGAAUAUUGGACAAUGGGGGAAACCCUGAUCCAGCCAUGCCGCGUGUGUGAAGAAGGCUCUAGGGUUGUAAAGCACUUUUAGUAAGGAGGAAGGCUCAGUAGUUAAUACCUGCUGGGAUUGACGUUACUUACAGAAAAAGCACCGGCUAAUUUCGUGCCAGCAGCCGCGGUAAUACGAAAGGUGCAAGCGUUAAUCGGAAUUACUGGGCGUAAAGCGCGCGUAGGCGGCUUGGUAAGUUAGAUGUGAAAGCCCCGGGCUCAACCUGGGAACUGCAUCUAAAACUGCUAGGCUAGAGUAUGGUAGAGGAUGGCGGAAUUUCCUGUGUAGCGGUGAAAUGCGUAGAUAUAGGAAGGAACAUCAGUGGCGAAGGCGGCCAUCUGGACCAAUACUGACGCUGAGGUGCGAAAGCGUGGGGAGCAAACAGGAUUAGAUACCCUGGUAGUCCACGCCGUAAACGAUGAGAACUAGCCGUUGGACAUCUUGCAUGUUUAGUGGCGCAGCUAACGCGAUAAGUUCUCCGCCUGGGGAGUACGGCCGCAAGGUUAAAACUCAAAUGAAUUGACGGGGGCCCGCACAAGCGGUGGAGCAUGUGGUUUAAUUCGACGCAACGCGAAGAACCUUACCUACACUUGACAUCCUCGGAACUUUCUAGAGAUAGAUUGGUGCCUUCGGGAACCGAGUGACAGGUGCUGCAUGGCUGUCGUCAGCUCGUGUCGUG